rnacentral:rRNA from 1 species
AGAGUUUGAUCAUGGCUCAGGAUGAACGCUAGCUACAGGCUUAACACAUGCAAGUCGAGGGGCAGCAUUGGGAUAGCUUGCUAUUCCAGAUGGCGACCGGCGCACGGGUGAGUAACGCGUAUCCAACCUUCCCUAUAGUAGAGAAUAGCCCGGCGAAAGUCGAAUUAAUGCUCUAUGUUGUGUUUUGAGGACAUCUGAGGAACACCAAAGGUUCACCGCUAUAGGAUGGGGAUGCGUCUGAUUAGCUUGUUGGCGGGGUAACGGCCCACCAAGGCGACGAUCAGUAGGGGUUCUGAGAGGAAGGUCCCCCACAUUGGUACUGAGCCAGGAUCAAACUC